rnacentral:rRNA from 1 species
UACGGAGGGUGCAAGCGUUAUCCGGAUUCACUGGGUUUAAAGGGUGCGUAGGUGGGCAGGUAAGUCAGUGGUGAAAUCUCCGAGCUUAACUCGGAAACUGCCGUUGAUACUAUUUGUCUUGAAUAUUGUGGAGGUAAGCGGAAUAUGUCAUGUAGCGGUGAAAUGCUUAGAUAUGACAUAGAACACCAAUUGCGAAGGCAGCUUACUACACAACGAUUGACGCUGAGGCACGGAAGCGUGGGGAUCAAACAGG